AUUGAACGCUGGCGGCAGGCCUAACACAUGCAAGUCGAACGAGUGGCGGACGGGUGAGUAAUGUCUGGGAAACUGCCUGUUGGAGGGGGAUAACUACUGGAAACGGUAGCUAAUACCGCAUACCAUCAGAUGUGCCCAGAUGGGAUUAGCUGGUAGGUGGGGUAACGGCUCACCUAGGCGACGAUCCCUAGCUGUGCUGAGAGGAUGACCAGCCACACUGGAACUGAGACACGGUCCAGACUCCUACGCGAGGCAGCAGUGGGGAGUAUUGCACAAGGGGCGCAAGCCUGAUGCAGCCAUGCCGCGUGUGUGAAGAAGGCCUUCGGGUUGUAAAGCACUGUCAGCGGGGAGGCGUUACCCGCAGAAGAAGCACCGGCUAACUCCGUGCCAGCCGCCGCGGUAAUAC
rnacentral:rRNA from 1 species